rnacentral:rRNA from 1 species
ACGGGCGGUGUGUACAACUGACGCUGAGGCUCGAAAGUGUGGGUAUCAAACAGGAUUAGAUACCCUGGUAGUCCACACAGUAAACGAUGAAUACUCGCGGUUGGUUCGUUAGAGUCAGCCGCCAAGCGAAAGCGUUAAGUAUUCCACCUGGGGAGUACGCCGGCAACGGUGAAACUCAAAGGAAUUGACGGGGGCCCGCACAAGCGGAGGAACAUGUGGUUUAAUUCGAUGAUACGCGAGGAACCUUACCCGGGCUUGAACUGCCAGUGACUCAUGCAGAGACGCAUGUUUCUUCGGACACUGGCGGAGGUGCUGCAUGGUUGUCGUCAGCUCGUGCCGUGAGGUGUCGGCUUAAGUGCCAUAACGAGCGCAACCCUUCUCCCUGUUUGCCAUCGGGUAAUGCCGGGCACUCCAGGGACACUGCCAUCGUAAGAUGUGAGGAAGGUGGGGAUGACGUCAAAUCAGCACGGCCCUUACGUCCGGGGCUACACACGUGUUACAAUGGGCGGUACAGAAAGCAGCUACCCCGCGAGGGGAUGCCAAUCUCAAAAACCGUUCUCAGUUCGGACUGGAGUCUGCAACCCGACUCCACGAAGCUGGAUUCGCUAGUAAUCGCGCAUCAGCCAUGGCGCGGUGAAUACGUUCCCGGGCCUUGCACACACCGCCCGU